CUACGGGGCGCUCCAGUAAGGAAUAUUGCGCAAUGGAGGCAACUCUGACGCAGCCAUGCCGCGUGCAGGACUGAAGGCCUUAUGGGUCGUAAACUGCUUUUAUUUAGGAAUAAACUCUUGUACGUGUACGAGACUGAAGGUACUAAAUGAAUAAGCACCGGCUAACUCCGUGCCAGCAGCCGCGGUAAUACGGGGGGUGCAAGCGUUAUUCGGAUUUAUUGGAGUUAAAGGGUGCGCAGGCGGACUAUUAAGUCAGAGGUGAAAUCCCGGAGCUCAACUUCGGAACUGCCUUUGAUACUGGUAGUCUUGAAUACGGUUGAAGUAGGCGGAAUGUAGCAUGUAGCGGUGAGAUGCAUAGACAUGCUACAGAACACCGAUCGCGAAGGCAGCUUACUAAGCCGAUAUUGACGCUCAGGCACGAAAGCGUGGGGAGCGAACAGGAUUAGAUACCCUCGUAGUC
rnacentral:rRNA from 1 species